UAGGGAAUCUUCGGCAAUGGGGGGAACCCUGACCGAGCAACGCCGCGUGAGUGAAGAAGGUUUUCGGAUCGUAAAGCUCUGUUGUUAAGGAAGAACGAGUGUGAGAAUGGAAAGUUCAUGCUGUGACGGUACUUAACCAGAAAGGGACGGCUAACUACGUGCCAGCAGCCGCGGUAAUACGUAGGUCCCGAGCGUUGUCCGGAUUUAUUGGGCGUAAAGCGAGCGCAGGCGGUUAGAAAAGUCUGAAGUGAAAGGCAGUGGCUCAACCAUUGUAGGCUUUGGAAACUGUUUAACUUGAGUGCAGAAGGGGAGAGUGGAAUUCCAUGUGUAGCGGUGAAAUGCGUAGAUAUAUGGAGGAACACCGGUGGCUAAAGCGGCUCUCUGGUCUGUAACUGACGCUGAGGCUCGAAAGCGUGGGGAGCGAACAGG
rnacentral:rRNA from 1 species